CCUCCUUAUAAUUGAUUUUACUAACAAAGUUUAUUAAUAUAGUAGUUUAAAAAAGUACAUGACGCGCGUUUUGAUUGACCUUAAUAUUAAAUUCUUUUCAAGUAACAAGUUGUCUUUAUUUGUCUACUAAUCUCACACUUCUCAACGGUGUUGACGUGUUUUUACGAUUCUCAGUUCUUUACUUCUUAUUAUUUUAAUUCUACUUAAGCCAAUCAUCAUUAUAGUUUAUGACAUAAGAAUGUGCCAUAACCUUCCUUUUUUAACUUAAUCUCGCCUUAUAUUUCUUAAUGUUGAAACUACGAAUUUGCUGGCAUAAAACUCAUAGAUUUACGAUGUUUCUGCAAUAAUCACUUAAAUCCUGGUUAUUUUUUAAUUAUGUUACAAAACUUUUGCCACUUAUAUUGUUUAUUAAAAGACUUCAUUAUUGUUAAAAUUAUUUGACAUUAUAAAUGAGUAAAACAUAUCAAAAUUUCUUUUUUAUCAUCUUGCAGUACAUUUGCAUAUCUAAUUUAACCUACACAUGUGUUUAAAUACAUGUUCUGCAUCUCGAGUAAAAAUAGACCUUCGACAGACAGCUGAUCAAGAUCGUUUUACAAGAUAAACACGACUAUUUAUUAAAGCUCGCGGACACCGAAAAGAAAGUGCUUCCUACGCGAUACGCCGCGCAUUAGUGGCACGGUUCUCCGCUCAUUGGACAUUGAUAAAUUGUAGUUUAAGGAAAUUCUCAACAUUCUUACAAUCGCACCGCCGAUCUCUCGCUGGCAAAUUUCUAAGAGCCGUGACCGCGCGCGAGAUCUCGCUCGGUGACUUCUCGCUGAUGUCGGCGAUCUAAACUGAAGGAAGAAGAUUAGAGAAAUCGCAGAGGAGACUAGCGGCGACGACGGACGGCGCGGCGCGUCCGAGACGCUUCGGCUGCAACAAAUCCCAAAGAGAUCCCCUUAUCUCCGCGCACGCGGAUCUCCGUUUCCGUCUCGCGAUCGCGCGCAGAUUUCACGAGCGUGCGCCAGAGUGAAUACACAUAUAACAACCACGAGACGACGGCGAAGGCGCAUCGAUCGUAAAGCGUUGCCGUAAGAAUCGGGGCGAGUUUACAGCCAAUAGCAAUUUACUCCGAGUCGAUGCGGAAUAAUAUCACAAAUAACCGCGGUCCUUUCGCGGUUUUACGAUAAUUCCCGAGGCGUUAUCCCUCAGCCGACCGCUGCGCCGCCGUUACGCGGUGGUACGUCGUUCUCGACGGCGCACGUACGCGAUUCGCGCGCAUCUUGGGGGGCUACCAGCAGGAAUACAUAAGGAAUAUAUCCCCUCGCAUAUCUCAAGAUAUUUCCAGAUUCCAGCGAUACUUAGGCGGGAAUUCGUGAGAAUCGAAACGGAAACUGGAGAAAUUCAAUCGCUGAGUAAGAAAAAGCAUUUAUGGGCAGAUGCAAAUGAAGAUUAAUAUCAAUCGUUGUGCACCGUAAAGUAAGAAAAUAUAUUUCUUGCAUCAUUUAAUUAAAUCUCUAUUCGCUAAUAUUCCGUCUAAUUAUCUCAUCAUAUUUCUAUAUAAUAAUAUAAUAUACUAUUAAUAAUAAAACAUUUCCUGAUGUCAAAGGUAAAAUACAAUAUACACUGAGAAAGAAAAUAAUUCAACAAAACGUUUCGUUGUGGGUUGCCAACAAAAGAUAUACUUAAUGUAACAAUAUUUGCUGUCAAUGCAAGUGCAAUGAUGUUGUUUGAACUAUGUGUUUAUAUUGCAACACCAUAUAUUGUUGUAUUGAAUAUAUCUUUUGUUGACAGCCCGCAACAAAAAAAUUUUGUUAAAUCAAUUACUUUUUUUUCUCAGUGUAGAAAUUCCUAUAACCAUUUUAUAAAUUGUUAUCAAAAUAAUCAAAGUAAUAGUAAUUAUUUUUUUAUUUAUAUGUUCAUGUUAAAUACAUAUAUAAUAACUUUCUAAUCGCCGGUAAUAAAAUGUAUCCAAAUGAUAAUGUGCUUUUAUGUCGUGUUUAUCUCAUUCGAAUUUAACAAAAACAUGUAAUACGUAAAAAAGUAAACAAAUAAUUAACUAAAAUACACUAUAUAAAAUACAGUCGAUCAGUGUUUUCCUGUUCUACAACCUAUUCUAUUCCAUGCGCACCUUCCUUGAUAAAUGUGCCUGUGUGUUUGCGGGUACGUACGGAUAUAAAACAUACCGUAUAAUAAUCAAGAAUUAGAAGAACGAUUUUAUAGCGACGUGGCAAUAUAAUAUCGCCGUCGAGAGAAAAAAAAAAUUCGCGCGAGAGCAUUAACGUUCAUUUGGUCGGUCAUGCGCGAAUAAAACGAAAAUCGUGCUCGUAAUCGCACUGACAUUAAUCUUCCGUCCGAUACGUUAAUUAUAAGAGGAACGACGUAACGAAUAGUUUAUCGAACGACUAGUUGCGCGUUACUCGAACCGCGCAACGUAAGAAUUGACCCCCCCUCCCCCCCCCCCCCGAGAAACCUUUCGCGGCCUUACGCAUUUGCGUAAUAAAGCUUUAAUAAUGCUUUAAUAAAGUUGCGUGCCGCAUCGGUGUGAAUCCCGAGAAAGUGAGGCGUUACAUUGGCAGCUGGACAAUUUAUUGCUAAUUAUUUCUAUAGCCGCGGUCACGCGGGAGGAAUCGCCGCAUAAUGAAGUGAUUUAUGAUUGUAAUCUGUCAUUGGUACGCCGAUCCAUGCGCCCAUAAUUGAAGGUAUAUAAAUGGGAUGAAGAUGUUGCUGAAACUAAUUAAUAAUAAAGGAGCCUAUGUUAAACACGUGCCACGAACAAAUUGGUUGUGCACGACCUAUUGGCCCGCACGGAGAAAUCCAAUUAGUGGGAAAAUCCACGACGGACACCGCCUUCGCCGUAAUCGUAAGAAAAGAAACUAAGAUAUAUAAACGUAAUUUAACACUCGAAGAAGAUGUUGCGGGGGCAAGGAGAUCAAGUAGAAAGCCGCAAAGUAUUGUCUGUUGGUCGAAGAUGAACGCGGGAUGCAAUAAGGCAGUAAUCAAAAAUUAAUCUCGAAGUCUGGCACUUCGAUUAUAUUUUUCAGUAUUACUUGAGAGUAUUAAUCUUAAUUGUUAAUUUUUACGUAAUGUCAUUAAAUCAUUUCUGAUAUGAAUAAAUUUUAAAAACUUUGUCUAUUGUAAUUUUUUAAAAUUAAAUUACUAAAUUUUUUACAGCGAUAUAUAAAGUUUUAUUUUAUUUAAAAAAGUUACCAACGCUGUUAAAAAUCUACGUAUUAUACAUGAAUAUUUAUAUUUAUGUAUGUAAUUUUAUAUAUUUUCUUUUAUAUACAUUGUUCAAAAAGAUGAAAAAAUUUGUCGUAUCUCGUACAACUUAUUUUCGUUUUAUUAGAAUUUUACGCGAGAGUAUUACGCUUUCAAGUUUUUGUAACAUGAGAAAAUCUCCCAGACGCAUAAAUGAAAUGGCGCCUAUAAAUCUAGUGUCAUAUAUCACUAUAUAUGGCUGGCGUUUUCUUUCCUACAACCAGAUCGUUUAUUACAUUGAACGAAACGGAUAGAAAAAGUAAAACGAGCGGAAAGAAAGCGGACGGCGUUCCCGCAAUAAACUUUAAGCCUGACAAACAAAUGAGUGGAAAGAUAUUUACGCUCCAUUUCACUGUAUUAAGAAACAAAAUUAUUCUUUCCGCUUGACGCAAAUUUUACAUCAUCGAAUUAUGUCAUAAAUCACCGACAUUUUUCCAUAUUAUUUCAACAAAUCUUUUAUCUUUUAUUUUCAAUCAAAUAUAAAAAUCAUAAUGUAAAAAUAUCCACGCAUUCUUUUUACUCUCUACUUGACAAACCAAAAUUCCAGUAUAAAUUUCAAUAAAAUUUAAGAAUGUUUUGAUCUCAAUAAAUUCGAGCUUGUUCAAAGCUUUCUUAAAAUUAGUGAUAUUAUAAAAUCGCAAAAUGAUCCUAUGUUUUUAGUGACAAACGCGUAUGUUUAACACGUAAAAGAUACACGCUUUAAAUUUACAAUAAAUUCAAUUUAGAGUGUAAAUAAAUUUAGUGAGUAAACUCAAGGUGUUAAGUAAAAGCUUUAAGCCAAUUUUCAAUAAGUUAUUGCGACUCACGUUGACGAGGCACAUAUUUCAUAAAUAUAUAUAGUAUUUCAUCACGUGGAUCAUUACGAAAAGUCUGAGAGGGGAAGCGUGCCGAAGCGGGAAAGGGAGAGAGAAAGAAACGAAGGAGGAAAGGCGGAUAGGUGAAGAGGUAUUCGCGAAGUAGACGAGAGUUAUAAUCAUUGGGGUCGAGGUCUGGCCGGCCAGAGGCACCUCUGAACGAUCCCGUGAGAGGUUGGUCACUUCGGGAAAUGAUGAAUCGUCAGGGCAGGCCCCGGCCGAUCCGCGCGAAAGAUCCGCUCAUUUCUACGAUUUACCGUCAACUCCUUUUUUUUUUUUUAUUACCACCGUUAUUUACUACCGUGCUCUCGCCGUGAAAAGGACGCAACCCUCACGCUUACGCAUCGUAACACGCCUGAUACGAUAUGUUGCACGCACAAGACUAACGAAUGUAUCAAGUGAUCGAAACGAAACUGUAUAACGCAGAUCGUUAUCCCGUUCGAGAGAUUCGUCCAAUUACGAAAAGAGUACUCCUCGUGUUUUACCGCCACAAUUCAAUUACCUUACGCCACUUGUAAUUAAAGAAGGGAAUUCAUGAAUUAUGCAUUUGUAUGAAGAUAUCGAAGCAUUAAACACCGUGAUGUUAUUAAACAUUCUUCGUCUCCGGCGUAAGCGUUACUUCCUACGGGAUAAUUUAUACGGACAUUUACGCGUGGCGUGACAAGGCGCGAUUGCAUAAAAUUCCGCGGCGUACGUAUACCACGCCGCGGGGAAUCGUAAACAUUCCCCUAAGCCCGACGUUUCACUCUUAUCCGCGAGCGUAUCGGAAAAAAAGGUGACGCGUUGCGAAUGUGGCGAACGAGGAAAAAUUUCUUCCAGCGCGCGCUCGCUUGCUCGCCGCCGCCCGGUGACAAGAUAGAACCGAAGUGAGAAUUCCUCAAGGUCGGCGAAUUCCGCGGAUGGCGAUCGUUGGAGCGUAUAUUAUCGGCCGUGCUAAAUAUUUAGGCCGGAUACUGGGUGUCUCCGCGACGCGGCACGCUGCAUAUCAGUCUGGCCGAUACGUGUCGGAUUGUAACAUUCGCAUAUAUUGGAAACAUUGUGUACGCGACAAACGCGCCGACAAUAAUGGCUUUGGUUGUCGCGUUGAAACCGACCCUAGCAAGGCGUAUAAAUCGCAACGACUCUAUUUCCAUGCGCUAUAAAACGCCUUUUAAAACGUAAAGAAUAAAGAGUAAAAAAAGUAAUGAAAAAAACGUAAAGAAGUAAAGAGUAAAGGAAAAGGAAGAAAACCCAUUACAUAUUUUUUUGACGCAACAUUAUAAUUAAUAAUGGACAUCAUAAUUCAUGCAAAAUAUUUCAAUUUGUGGCUCGUCUUUUAUUUGUAGAUGUUUUAAUUUCAAUUCGAAUUUCAAAAAAAAUUCUUUUUAAUUUAAUUCUUACAAUUAGUUUUAUUUCUCAUAUUAAAGUUUGAAUUGUUUAAUAAAUCACUCACAAAUUAAAUUAAUGUAUUUGUUUAUUUAUUAACUUUCGCAAUAUUCAUUAACUUGUCAUUAAGUACCUUAAAAAUUGAUAUCGUCUUGAUUGAAUAAAAAAUAAGAAACGUAAAGUGCAGUAAAUUAAUAAAAAAUAAUAAUUCUCGAAUAAUUAGACGAUUUCAAUGUAAAAUAGCGACUCAAAGUAACGUGCAUUUAUCAUUUAUAUUGCAGGAAGAAUCUAAAUGCGUGUAUAAAUCGCGAAAGAAAAUGUAACGAUAGAAAAUCGAUUUGUUCAUGGUGAAACAUUUCUUCCGGUGCAAGUAACAUUAUCAUUUAUCACACUGAGACAACCGACUGUCACAGAUGCAUGUGUCCACGCAUGUGCAACGAUAUCUAGGAAAGAAGAAAUAUACGAUUUACAUUUUGAUUACAAAAAGCAAGCGGAAUGAUUUAUCCGCGUCUUUGACACAACCGCUUUUAAAACUGCCCGUGUAAUCGCGUUGGUUUCGCACUGGAUACCGGCUGCCACAUCCCAAUAAAAUAAUACACGAACUGCGAUUUACGAACGCUUACGUUCAACCGAACACAGUUGUUAAGAAAGAUUAAAUGCGUCGGUACGCAGCUUCUAAUUACUUCAUUAAUACAGAAAAUGUCAAUUGCAUACAUUACGCAUAUUCAUACUACACUUUAGCAUAAACGUUGUUUUUUAUUUCUUACUGUCCUCUUGAAUAUAUCAUUUAAGAUUGAAAUGUUGAAUGAACAUAGAUCAGCAAUAUCACGAUGAAUUAAAUUUUAAAAUACAACCUAAUUAAAUGUAUUAUAUUAUUGGAAAAUAAAAAAAAUAUUUCAAAUUUAAUGUUUUGUAAAUUAAUAUGCCUAUACAAAAAGAUCGGAAGUCUUACAGGUAAGAUAACAAAAAACAUUUAAAGACAUUAAUUACUUCGUUUAACAAAAUUCAUAAUAAAGUUUACUAAUUCGAUUUAUCGUUUCUUUUGUAUGCUUAUACUUUCUUUCUUUAUAAAUCUAUUUAAUAAUUUAUAUUUAUGAUUUCUAAUAUUCUUUUCAAUUAUUGGUUCAGGGAUAGUAAAUCACGCGACAAUUAUAAAUGAGAAACGUACCAGGACUUAAGUAUUCGAUCUGUUAUCAUAGGUGAAUCCACAGUAUGUGAAUUCUAAAUCUCGUUUCCUGAUCUUCAACAGCAUCCAUGCAUAUUAUGCGAUUCAAAGGAUGAAUUAAACUUACCUGCAACAGAAAAUAAAGAGAACGUUAUAAAAAGAUUAUUUAUUUAGCAAUCGUAUACACGUAAUCAAAACACUAAUCUUUCUGUACUGUCUAAUCUCUUGAUAAGAUUUUCAAUUUAAUCAAUCAUCGACUUAUUACAGUAAAACGCGCGUAACAUAUGCAUACAAAUCA
rnacentral:lncRNA from 1 species